UUUAAUUUGAGAGUUCGAUCCUGGCUCAGGAUGAACGCUGGCGGCGUGCUUAACACAUGCAAGUCGAGCGAAGCGAUUUCAAGGAAGUUUUCGGAUGGAAUUGAAAUUGACUUAGCGGCGGACGGGUGAGUAACGCGUGGGUAACCUGCCUCAUACAGGGGGAUAACAGUUGGAAACGGCUGCUAAUACCGCAUAAGCACACAGUGCCGCAUGGUACGGUGUGAAAAACUCCGGUGGUAUGAGAUGGACCCGCGUCUGAUUAGGUAGUUGGUGAGGUAACGGCCCACCAAGCCGACGAUCAGUAGCCGACCUGAGAGGGUGACCGGCCACAUUGGGACUGAGA
rnacentral:rRNA from 2 species